UACGGAGGAUGCAAGCGUUAUCCGGAAUGAUUGGGCGUAAAGGGUCCGCAGGUGGCAGUGUAAGUCUGCUGUCAAAGAAUGAGGCUUAACCUCAUCAAGGCAGUGGAAACUACACAGCUAGAGUACGGUCGGGGUAGAAGGAAUUCCUGGUGUAGCGGUGAAAUGCGUAGAGAUCAGGAAGAACACCGGUGGCGAAAGCGUUCUGCUAGACCUGUACUGACACUGAGGGACGAAAGCCAGGGGAGCGAAUGGG
rnacentral:rRNA from 1 species